GGAGGGUUACCGAAGCGGUCAUAACGGGGCGGUCUUGAAAACCGUUAGGGGGAAACCCCACGCGGGUUCGAAUCCUGCACCCUCCGCCA
rnacentral:tRNA from 1 species